GACAGAGGGGGCAAGCGUUGCUCGGAAUCACUGGGCGUAAAGGGCGCGUAGGCGGGAUGGCAAGUCAGUCGUGAAAUCUCUCGGCUCAACCGAGAAACGUCGGCUGAUACUGCCGUUCUUGAGGGAUGCAGAGGAGACUGGAAUUCCCGGUGUAGCGGUGAAAUGCGCAGAUAUCAGGAGGAACACCGGUGGCGAAGGCGGUUCUCUGGGCAUGACCUGACGCUGAGGAGCGAAAGUGUGGGGAGCGAACAGG
rnacentral:rRNA from 1 species